rnacentral:rRNA from 1 species
GUAGGCGAAGAGGUCUGGAAAGACCCGCCAGAGCAGGUAAAAGCCCUGUAACCGAAAGCAAACACUCUCCGAGACGGAUCCUGAGUACGGCGGGACACGAGAAACCCCGUCGGAAUCCGGCAGGACCAUCUGCCAAGGCUAAAUACUCCCUAGUGACCGAUAGUGAAGCAGUACCGUGAGGGAAAGGUGAAAAGCACCGCGGAAGCGGAGUGAAAAAGAACCUGAAACCGUGCGCUUACAAGAAGUCAGAGCCCUAUUAAUGGGUGAUGGCGUGCCUUUUGUAGAAUGAACCGGCGAGUUACGAUCACGUGCAAGGUUAAGGCGGGAAGCUGUAGCCGUAGCGAAAGCGAGUCUGAAUAGGGCGAAUGAGUACGUGGUCGUAGACCCGAAACCGUGUGAUCUACCCCUGUCCAGGGUGAAGGUGCGGUAACACGCACUGGAGGCCCGCACCCACGCAUGUUGAAAAAUGCGGGGAUGAGGUGGGGGUAGCGGAGAAAUUCCAAUCGAACUCGGAGAUAGCUGGUUCUCCCCGAAAUAGCUUUAGGGCUAGCCUCGGUUAAGAGUGUCGUGGAGGUAGAGCACUGAUUGGGU